rnacentral:rRNA from 1 species
AUUGAACGCUGGCGGCAGGCCUAACACAUGCAAGUCGAGCGGAGCGGCGGACGGGUGAGUGAUGACUAGGAAUCUGCCUGGUAGUGGGGGAUGACGUCCGGAAACGGGCGCUAAUACCGCAUACUAUCAGAUGAGCCUAGGUCGGAUUAGCUAGUAGGUGUGGUAACGGCUAACCUAGGCGACGAUCCCUAGCUGGUCUGAGAGGAUGACCAGCCACACUGGAACUGAGACACGGGCCAGACUCCUACGGGAGGCAGCAGUGGGGAAUAUUGCACAAUGGGCGCAAGCCUGAUGCAGCCAUGCCGCGUGUGUGAAGAAGGCCUUCGGGUUGUAAAGCACUUUCAGCGGGGAGGCGGUACCCGAAGAAGAAGCACCGGCUAACUCCGUGCCAGCAGCCGCGGUAAUUC